rnacentral:rRNA from 1 species
AACGAACGCUGGCGGCAUGCCUAACACAUGCAAGUCGAACGAGAUCUUCGGGUCUAGUGGCGCACGGGUGCGUAACGCGUGGGAAUCUGCCCUCAGGUUCGGAAUAACCAUUGGAAACGAUGGCUAAUACCGGAUGAUGACGUUAAGUCCAAAGAUUUAUCGCCUGAGGAUGAGCCCGCGUAGGAUUAGCUAGUUGGUGUGGUAAAGGCGCACCAAGGCGACGAUCCUUAGCUGGUCUGAGAGGAUGAUCAGCCACACUGGGACUGAGACACGGCCCAGACUCCUACGGGAGGCAGCAGUGGGGAAUAUUGGACAAUGGGCGAAAGCCUGAUCCAGCAAUGCCGCGUGAGUGAUGAAGGCCUUAGGGUUGUAAAGCUCUUUUACCCGGGAUGAUAAUGACAGUACCGGGAGAAUAAGCUCCGGCUAACUCCGCG